rnacentral:rRNA from 1 species
AGAGUUUGAUCCUGGCUCAGGACGAACGCUGGCGGCAUGCUUAACACAUGCAAGUCGAACGGAAAGGCCCUCUUCGGAGGGUACUCGAGUGGCGAACGGGUGAGUAACACGUGGGUAACCUGCCUUUGACUGGGGGACAACCGGGGGAAACUCCGGCUAAUACCGCAUAACGUGCAGCGUCACAAGGCGCAGUACCAAAGAUAGCUUCGGCUUUCGGUCAAAGAUGGGCCCGCGGCAGAUUAGCUUGUUGGUGGGGUAAUGGCCUACCAAGGCGACGAUCUGUAGCUGGUCUGAGAGGACGAUCAGCCACACUGGAACUGAGACACGGUCCAGACUCCUACGGGAGGCAGCAGUGGGGAAUCUUGCGCAAUGGGCGAAAGCCUGACGCAGCAAUGCCGCGUGAGGGAAGACGGCCUUAGGGUUGUAAACCUCUUUCAGUUGGGACGAAGCUUCCUGGGUUAAUAGCCCUGUGGAGUGACGGUACCUUCAGAAGAAGCCCCGGCUAACUACGUGCCAGCAGCCGCGGUAAUACGUAGGGGGCAAGCGUUGUCCGGAAUCAUUGGGCGUAAAGCGCGUGUAGGCGGCCCGGAAAGUCUGGUGUGAAAACUUAGGGCUCAACCCUAAGCCUGCACUGGAUACUAUCGGGCUUGAAUCCGGAAGAGGAGAGUGGAAUUCCUGGUGUAGCGGUGGAAUGCGCAGAUAUCAGGAGGAACACCAAUGGCGAAGGCAGCUCUCUGGUACGUGAUUGACGCUGAGACGCGAAAGCGUGGGGAGCGAACAGGAUUAGAUACCCCAGUAGUCC